UUGGACAGAUGCACAGGACAGGCAGUGGCAGCACAAGGGGAGCUGUGAGUAAGCCGUGGAGAUGCGUCAGCAGAAGCCGUGAGAGAAAAGCUCGGCCAAGCAGAGGGGGAGGGAAUUGCCUGGGAAUAGCAGGAGGCAGAGAAUGAUGGAGGAGAAUUAAAAUGAAGAUCUACAAAUCCCUGCUGCUGAGAAGCACCGAGACACCAUGAGCGCUGGGACUGCCUGGGAAUGAAUCAGCCAGCUCUGCCACCCCCUGCCCUGGGCUGCAGAGCAACCUGAACGUCCCUUUUACGGAACCAAAGUGUGUUUGGUGUUUUUUGCAAGCCUGCUGCUCCUUGCGGAACGGAUGGUCUGCCCACUUCUGGAUUCCUCGGGCUUUUGGUGGUGCCUGAUGGACACUAGGAAUGCAAUAGAAGACAAAUAAGUGGGAGAUUGGAUAUACCAGGUUAAAAUAGCCCAGUCCCCUAUGGGGUUCCUCCACAUUGACUACAGUUAGGUAAAUUCAAACCCUUAAACUCACAAGGCUUUGAAAACUGUGAUUGUGUGAAUCCUGAUUACAAACCACCUGAGGGAAUCAUUUGGCUCCCUAAGACCAGCUGAGUCUGUGUGCAAUAAAGGAGGAGAGAAACUCUGGAGAAAGGCCCAGGGAGACGGGGGAAACCAAAGAAAUAUUAGGAAGCCCCAUUCUCCAGAAGUGGCCGACAAUUUUCCUCCCACAUACAUUAAAAAGUAUAGUCUAUACUUCGACCAGACAGAAAAAAUAUGGACAUGAUCUGGGACAAAGUCAUCAAAUCUUUGAUCCCCUUGGGCACUCGAUAGAAUAAAUGGUUUUCCACAUCA